rnacentral:rRNA from 1 species
GGGAGGCAGCAGUGGGGAAUAUUGGACAAUGGGCGCAAGCCUGAUCCAGCCAUACCGCGUGGGUGAAGAAGGCCUUCGGGUUGUAAAGCCCUUUUGUUGGGAAAGAAAUCCAGCUGGCUAAUACCCGGUUGGGAUGACGGUACCCAAAGAAUAAGCACCGGCUAACUUCGUGCCAGCAGCCGCGGUAAUACGAAGGGUGCAAGCGUUACUCGGAAUUACUGGGCGUAAAGCGUGCGUAGGUGGUCGUUUAAGUCCGUUGUGAAAGCCCUGGGCUCAACCUGGGAACUGCAGUGGAUACUGGACGACUAGAGUGUGGUAGAGGGUAGCGGAAUUCCUGGUGUAGCAGUGAAAUGCGUAGAGAUCAGGAGGAACAUCCAUGGCGAAGGCAGCUACCUGGACCAACACUGACACUGAGGCACGAAAGCGUGGGGAGCAAACAGGAUUAGAUACCCUGGUAGUCCACGCCCUAAACGAUGCGAACUGGAUGUUGGGUGCAAUUUGGCACGCAGUAUCGAAGCUAACGCGUUAAGUUCGCCGCCUGGGGAGUACGGUCGCAAGACUGAAACUCAAAGGAAUUGACGGG